CCUGGGAUCGAAAUCAAGAGUUGGACGCUCAACUGACUAAGCCACCCAGCCACCCUUAUUUUGAAAUAAUUGUGUAGAUUUACACAACAGUUGCAAAGAUAGUUCACAAAAUUCCUAUACACCCUUCACCUAGCUUCUCCUAAUAUUACUAUCUUCCAUAACCACGGUACAUUGAUUAGAACCAAGAAAUUAGCAUUGGUACACUGCCAUUAGCUAAACUUCACACUUUAUCCAGAUUUCCCCAGGUUUUCCACUGGUGUCCUUUUUCUGGUCCAGGAUCCCAUGUUACAUCUAGUCGUCAUGUCUCCUUGGUUUCUCCUAAUCUGUAACAGUUUCCAGGUCUUUUCUGGUCUUUCAUGACAUUGACACUUUUGAAUAGCAUUGAAUAUAACUAAAUAGGUCAGGUGUUUUGGAAUUUUGUAGACUAUCCCUCAUUGUGGGCUUUUCUGAUCUUUUCUCAUGAGGAAACAGACAGGUUGUGGAUUUGGAGAAGAGGACCUCAGAGGUGAAGUGUCCUUGUCACAUCCUGUCAGGGCCCAUGAUAUCAACAAGACCCGCCGAUGCUGUUUACACACGCCUGUAUCUAUUGUGGUCUCUCUCUGUGUACAUACGUGUGUGCAGCUAAGUAAACAUACUCUCAGGCUGAUAUCUCCUCCUCUAACCCGGCACUGUAGGGUUCACUCCAGCAGCUCCUAGCAUUUUACUGGGCUCUUUGACGGCAGUAAGAAAUGCUGCACGUUGCAGGAAGGCUUCCAUAAGCUGAAGUUCUCGGAGACGCCGGCUUUCAUCUGCAGGCGCCCUUGACCUGGCAGAUGCUUUGCUACCACACACGGGAGUCCAGAUUCCACAGUAAGUUAUGCCGGCAGCCACUUUAGGGCCAAGCUUACCUGCAUAAACAGAUUUUCUUGUUAAGAAGAUACAACUCACCCUGGAUUCUCUUGCCCAUCCUCGGCCACCAACAGAAUGGCGGCUUCAUCUCAUCACAUCGGGGUCGCUGGGAGACUAAGCGAAGCGUGUGUACGAAGUGAUCCCAGCUCCUCGCGUGACGAACUGUUCAUCGACUGGGACCAUUUACUGCACGUGGUGGCAGCCUCACCGCGGGAACGCCUCCGGCACGGAGCCCACCGCUUCCACGUCUGACCUUGCAGAGUCCGGGUGAGAGAGGGUUACCUGCCCGCCGGCCCGGGCCCCUGCCGACUGCAUUCGAGCCCCAAAGCCUCCAGGAGGCCUUGCUUCUUCCCCGGCCUUCCUGGGACGCCACAGCCCCCCAGAGUGGCCCCACGGCACUCUGCACGCCUGCCUUUGCACCCCACUUGCUGUGUCCUGGGGCUUCUCCCCUGCCGACUGUGAGCUCCGGGAGGGAACCGCCUCAGGCUUCCUGUUCGUCUCUACCACGUGCACCACACUGCUCAGGCUCCCAGGCAGGAGGCCAGUGUUGGAGGAACAUUCUGAGGUCUGCAGAAGCCAACUGUGGACUCUGUUCUUUUGCAGCAGACACGUCAGAGAGCUGUACUUUUAUGAGUUGCGGGGGUGGAGAUGAUUAUUUGUCCGGGACAUUUGAACCUGAGUCAGAAUGGUCUUAGAGGGCAGUUCAGCGUCAGGGUCAUGUGGAACUAGGCCCGGGGGACACUUUCGACUGGCACCACACAGGACUGUAGCUCAGGGAAAGCGGACCCAGGGCCCAGGGGCAGAGACAAAGGGAGAUGAGAAAUACCCAAACGCAGAGGCCAUCCAGGUGGCCAGGGGACGGAGCUCAAAGAAAAGCAAGAGGGCUGGAUUUAGUUCCAUUGGCCUCUGGCAAACCCAGCGGAUGCAUCUCCUGGAUGUGGAUUUGCUCUCCCUGCCCGUAAUGCGUUUCCCAGCACGGCCGUCCGUGGACUGAUGGAAUGCCUACUUACCAGCAUGGCAUCCUGCAUAGUACUUUUAAUUAAAAAAACUCAUUUCACAGCAAA